rnacentral:misc_RNA from 1 species
AAGUCGUAACAAGGUUUCCGUAGGUGAACCUGCGGAAGGAUCAUUAACACGUAUCCAAACGUUAAAACCCCCCCCGUGAACCUUCAUCCUGCUCUUGUAACCCGCGUACCUCUGGCUACGUGCGAACAUUGGAACAGUUACAAUCGAGCGGUAGUUCUAUAGGCAAUGUUUCCCCAAGCAGUCAGUGUCGGAAAGUGUCAUUGAUUGUGCAAGGAUAGCGCUUCUACGAUUCCUGUAGACCGUACACUCGGGCAGGAGCUUUGCCAAAGGGUCCCCAUGCCCCCUAAUAACCCCACAGUUUAAUGUGAAGCUCAAUGUAAUACAUUGGGUAAAAAAACCGAACAACUGUUAACAAUGGAUAUCUUGGUUCUC